GUUUCACAGAGCAGAGUGGGGGACGGGAGCACCGGAUUGAUUGCAGUAGUGAAGAAAUCGUAGCAGAAUGGCGGAGAGGUGGCUACCUUUUUCGAUCAUAUUUCUAGGAGUUCUCUCCUUGUAUUGUGCUGCGUCGGAUGAUAACAGCGGCAUUAAGAAGAUGAAGAUGCAAUUUGCAACAGGGCCACUUCUUAAAUUCCAAAUCUGCAUCUCCUGAGGGUACAAGAGGGUGUUUGAGGAGUACAUGCAGGUCUUGUACCAGCGGUACCCAGACAUCCGCAUUGAGGGAGAGAACUACCUUCCUCUACCCCUCUACCGACAUGUUGCUUCCUUCCUGUCCAUGUUCAAGCUGGCACUGAUCGGACUGAUCAUCAUCGGCAAGGACCCUUUUGCACUCUGCCGUAUGCAAGCCCCAGGCAUCUGGGUCUGGGGACAGGAGAAUAAGAUUUAUGCCUGCAUGAUGGUGUUCUUCUUCAGCAACAUGAUUGAAAACCAGUGUAUGUCAACAGGAGCGUUUGAAAUCACAUUAAACGAUGUGCCAGUGUGGUCCAAGCUGGAGUCAGGUCACCUGCCCUCCAUGCAGCAGCUGGUCCAGAUCCUGGAGAACGAGAUGAAGAUGAAUGUACCCAUGGACACACUCCCCCACCACCGCUCCUAACCCUGUCUCAUCCCCCCCGGAUGGAGCCAUAGACCCCUCCACGUUUGAGGUGGGUUUCUCAAUGGACUGUGAGGUGAUGUUAAUGAAGGUCUGCGCUGAAGGCAGGAAGACUGCUAGCUCAGACUGGAUGUCCCCAUUGCUCCUCACCACGCCCCUUUGACGCCCCGCCCCUGAUGCUGGCUUGGGAUCUAUGGCAACCGCAACAGCCAUUUUCUUGUACUAUUACUACUGCAGAUCAUUCAUCUUGUUGCAAUAAACAUUCCGUUUGGUCUCUUA